GUGCCUUCAGGUUGCUUCUGCGCCGGGCCUGCCGCUGGGCGCCCCUAUCUCUGCCUGCCCCCUCCUCCUGCUCCCCUCGCCCUGCCCCCUUGGAGCAAUUCCCCACUGAGCCUCCCUUCCCAGGCAGUCGAGGUCCCUCCCUACCUCUGCCCCGCGCUCUGGGAGGCUCCUUGUUCCGCGGCCACAAAGCCCCUUUGAUCCUCUGCUGGGCUCUGAGCCAUGUGACCCGGUGGGCGGGCCGCGGCUCUCGGCGCGUCCAGCGCAGCCCGACGUUCCGCUGCUGGGCCACUGAAGCGGCUUCCAGCUGCGUUGGCGACAUGGCCGACACCCCCAGAGAUGCCGGGCUCAAGCAGGCGCCUGCAUCACGGAACGAGAAGGCCCCGGUGGACUUCGGCUACGUGGGGAUUGACUCCAUCCUGGAGCAGAUGCGCCGGAAGGCCAUGAAGCAGGGCUUCGAGUUCAACAUCAUGGUGGUCGGGCAGAGCGGCUUGGGUAAAUCCACCUUAAUCAACACCCUCUUCAAAUCCAAAAUCAGCCGGAAGUCGGUGCAGCCCACCUCAGAGGAGCGCAUCCCCAAGACCAUCGAGAUCAAGUCCAUCACGCACGAUAUUGAGGAGAAAGGUGUCCGGAUGAAGCUGACAGUGAUUGACACACCAGGGUUCGGGGACCACAUCAACAACGAGAACUGCUGGCAGCCCAUCAUGAAGUUCAUCAAUGACCAGUACGAGAAAUACCUGCAGGAAGAGGUCAACAUCAACCGCAAGAAGCGCAUCCCGGACACCCGCGUCCACUGCUGCCUCUACUUCAUCCCCGCCACCGGCCACUCCCUCAGGCCCCUGGACAUCGAGUUUAUGAAACGCCUGAGCAAGGUGGUCAACAUCGUCCCUGUCAUCGCCAAGGCGGACACACUCACCCUGGAGGAGAGGGUCCACUUCAAACAGCGGAUCACCGCAGACCUGCUGUCCAACGACAUCGACGUGUACCCCCAGAAGGAAUUUGAUGAGGACUCGGAGGACCGGCUGGUGAACGAGAAGUUCCGGGAGAUGAUCCCGUUUGCUGUGGUGGGCAGUGACCACGAGUACCAGGUCAACGGCAAGAGGAUCCUUGGCAGGAAGACCAAGUGGGGCACCAUCGAAGAGACGAGAUUUCAUCAUGUUGGCCAGGCUGGUCUUGAACUCCUGACCUCGUGAUCCACCCACCUCAGCCUCCCAAAGUGCUGGGAUUGCAGACGUGAGCCAUGGUGCCCAGCGUCAACGCCCCAUUUUCGUAAGAUAAUGGGGAUAACGA
rnacentral:sRNA from 1 species